GGGAAAAACAUAUUUCUUUAAUUAUUAGUGAUUUAUUUAGGAAUUGAUUCAUCAUCCUCCUCUAAUAUCUUUACACUGCUAUUGUAAGUGAUUGGAACUGUGAAAUGUUUUCGUUUCUGUUGUGGACGAGUGUGGCAGUGUAGCCAGUCCCUUGUUUUGUUUUUCUCUCACUCGAGUAUGGGAGCGCUGCCCUGAAUCUUUCGUCUGCGUUUUGGUAACACUAGCAACACAUGUAAGAAUCACGAAUGCUCUCGAGUGUUAGGACGUCAACCGGUCCAUUCUUCAUUUUGGCUAUUUUACCAAAUUAAUGAUGCAAAUGAUUAUCUAUCCCUUGCGAGGGAUCUAGUCCAGGGGAUCUAGUCCAAAGAUCUAGUUCAGGAGUUCUGAAGACUAGGUUAAUUAAUCAAGUUCAGGAGACUAGGCCUGGGAGAAAUUUGGCAUGAUGUAAUGAGCAAUAAAGAAACAAGCUGAA